GGAGCCCAGAUUUAGGGGUGGCUGGUGCGGCGCGCGGAGCGACAACUUCGAAAAUGCGGAAAUAGAGGAGCGGGAGUGGAGGCGACUGAGCCAGAAACCACGUGGGGGAAAGGGGAAGCGCCCGGGCUGGGGGCUCCUGGGGCGCUGAGCCUCCGCUGCCCUCCCUGAGCGUCCCCGCGACCCCUCCAGAUGCUGGGUCCCGAGUGCUCUGAAGGUAGACACACGCUCGUUAUCUCCUUGGCUCUCCUGCAGUGUUUGGGGCCGUUUUCGCAGGGCUGGGAAGCGGGUGCUCGGUCAGUGUUUGUCCCGAAACUGCUAAGGGCCGGCGGAAUUGCGAAUGGACCGAAGCGGGGGCGACAGCCAGGGCGUCCAUGGGAGCCCGACGUUCUGCAAGGCGCCGGCUCACCGGCUACCGCCCUUGCUUUUCCAGAAGCUCUUCUUCCCGCUGAGCUGUGCGAAGUCAUGGGGUGCAUUUAAAAGUUUAAACUUCUGUUACUGGAUCUUGUUCCUCUUUAUUCACAGCGGCGCUGUGUGUGCAUUUAGUCAUCCCUCCCCAGGCGCCUGUCUCCCGCUCUCAGCUUGGGGAUUUGCUUCCUCGAGGCCGGAGUGUGAGCGAGGCCUUCAGUCCGUGAUCUGUUCCUUCUGCAUUGGCCGAAAGAAAGGACGGUUAUCUUUGAGUAACUCCAAGACCUCAGAAGACCUUCUGCAAGUCAUUUCCCCUUUCCAAGCCUCAGCUUUUGUUUUUGUUACUUUUUUUUUAAUCUCCAAAAUAUGAGAUUAGAUUUUAUUUCUAACGCUUGUUCCUGUUUUAAGACUGAGUUUUUUUGGUUUUGGUUUUUGGUUUUUUACCUCUCCCUGAUUUCACUGAGGUCCUGGGAGCAGAAACCCUACUAUUUCCCAUCCCCUUUGCAGGGAUGGGAAACAUCCCAUGUCCAGGGUUGGUUCUGUUUAUCCUUCAGGAGCUGGUUUCCCGCUCACCACUCAUCCCUGGAAGCAGCCCUUUCAAAGCAGACACUUGACCCAAACAUGUGAAAAGAUGCUCAGGUUCAUUCAGAGUAAAAGGGAAGAAUGCAAAUUUGAAGAAAAAGGAGAUACCAUUUUUCACUGAGUAGACUGGCAACGCUGAAAGUUUGGUAACACUCUGUGUUGGCACACAGACUCAGCUGAUGCAAUUGUAAACGUGUUCAUCUCUCUGCAGAGCGAGUUAGCAGUAUGGACCACAGAAUGUGUAAGCGUAUGUGCCUUUUGACCCAGCAGCAGCCUUAGGAGUUUAUCCUCCAGAUAGGCUUACCCACAUGCAUGAAGCUGUUUGCGCUUGCGUGCGUACGGUAGCGUGCUGUAGAAGCAAAACACAGGCAACACGCUGGAGACCUGUGAAUAUAUUCGUUGGACAGGUUGUACAUACAAAUGGGAAUGCUGCGAUGUACAAUUGUAGAAAAAAAAAUGAGGCCGAUUUUCAUGAAUUCAGAUGUCUGGUCUUCAAGGCAUAUCAGGUCUGUUGUGUCCAACGUGUGUGUUCUUGUUAAGAAAGCAGAAUGGGGAGAUGUUUAUGUUUCUUGUCUUUUAUUUUAUUUUGAGAUGUAUAUAUUUCUAUGUACAUAGAAUAUCCCUGGACAGAGAUACAAGAAAUGGGUCUGUAAUUCAUUAAUUUUUUUAACCACGUAUUUAUUUUUAAAUACAUAAAAUAUGACGAAACGAGAGUGCCACAAUGGGCAAGACACUCAAACAGGCCCUUCACAGAAGAGACUCUCCAGAACAUGAAAAAGCGUUCUCUUUCAUUAGUCACCAGGGAAACGCAAAUUUAAGCCACAAAGAAAUAUUUACACACCCUCCAGAACAGCUAAAAUGACAAAGCACCGAGCACCAGCAAGCAUUGGGAGUAACUAGAACGUCCGUACACCGCUGGAGGCAAUGUCAUUAUUAAACCACGGGGGACGGCUGUUAGGACGAUCUGCUGAAAUUGAGCAUACGUGAACCUGUGUUCACCAAAAGACACGCACCGGAAUGUUCCCCAAGUGCUGUCCACAGUCGCUCCAAACUGGAAACAUCCUAAACAUCUGGGACCGACAGGAGAAAUAGAUCGUGUACAUUCAUACAAGCAACUGUCCCACAACAGCCGAAAUCAGCUUCUCAAAUACAUGCUGGGUUAAAAGAAGAUACACUAUGUGAUUCCAUUACUAAAAGCUUCAAAAUGGGGCAAAACUGAUGUUUGGCAUAGGAAGAGAAAGCAGGGCAGUGGUGACCAGGGGGUAAUAAUAUUCCGCGUCUUGAUCUGGAUGCUCGUUGUAUCGGUGCCCACUCGGGGUCAAUUCAUUCGCCUCUGGACACUUGGGAUUUGUGUGCUCGAUUUCAAGCACACAGCGGGAGAGAAGGAGAGAGAGGGAUGCUUCUAAUGGUUGUACAGUGGACAAUCAGAGGUUUCUUUCGGAAGGGUGUUGGGGUUGUUCCUCAUUUUUUACCACGGCUUUGUGGUGUUGAAUGCAAUGGCCAGAAUAGGGAAGCGAGAAGGCCGACUCUCCCCAGCCCAUGGUGUUGGACAAAGCCCAGGGAGUCUGAGGAACCCAGAGUGGUACGAUGUGUCCUAAUUCCUCUGCACAGGGCCACCUUACCUCCAGCUGUGGAUAGAGCCUGCUGGGACCCCCGUGCCUGUACUUGGUGGGGCAGGCGUAUGGCUAGUGGACGUUGCGUGGAGCACUUACUGAGGGCCAUGUUGCUCGUGUCCACUGGUGCUUCCUCAGCUCCUGUCAACCAAAAAACCAGCACUGAAUGAGGGAGUGAACACACUAUGGGUGACCCCUUUCAGAGGUGAAGAGACAGGCUCAAUGCGGUUAAGCAGUGUGCUCAAGGUCACACAGCUAGGAGGGGAAGAGCCAGCAUUCGGACACAGAUCUGUCCUCUUUGCUGCUGUCACACCCAUAAACUCACCUCAUCCUCACCGCCCUGGGAAGCUGGUGUGAUCCCUUGCAGGGCUAAGGAAACUGAGGCUCAGAGUGAAGUGACUGCGCCACGGAAGCAGAAAGCCCAGCUAGCUUGCAGACCUCUUUCUGUCGGCCUGCGAAGAGCCUACUCCUUAUGCUGUGCCAGACUCCUCCUCCAAGGAGCCAGAGGCCAGGCUGUAUACCGAUGCGGCUCUACACCAGGCCCUGAUGGCUUGCUUGCUCCUGCUGCCCAAGGCCCCAUCACCAAGUCUCCUGGGAGCAAGGCUCUGCCCACGUGUGCUCAUCAUCUUGUCCUCUCCUCCCCAGACCCGUUUCUUAAACUCAUGUUGGUUCAUUCAACAAGCAUUUAGUGAUCUGUUCUGUGCUUGGCGCCUUGCUAGGUGCUGCAGACACAUGAGUAAGCCAAACCAGCCAGUCCCUGCCUCUUACAGAGCACAGAGACUAAGUGAACCAGUAAAUAAGUGCCCGAUUACAAACAGGGGUGUUCCUAUAAAGGAAAAGGACAUCGCGUGGUAGAAGGGUAUACCUGGGCAUCUGGCCUGGCCUGGGGUUACACAGCUUCCUUUUGUGUGAUAGGUGAAGGACACAUGGGUAUUUCAUAAGCAAAGGCAUGCAGGGGAUGGAGGUGGAGGGUUCCAGGCAAAAGAGUAGGUAGGAAGGCCUUGCAGAAGAAAGCAGCGUGGAUUGCGGGAAGUUCUGAAGGGGCCAGUGUGUGGAGGGCGAGGAGGGAGUGAGGAAACUGAGCUGAAGAGCUUGGAAGGGCCAGACCGUGCAUGGCCCAAACAACUGGAAGGAUUCUAGCCACAUCUGAGGGGCAGUAGGAAGCCACUGGAGGAUUUGGUCCCAUGUGUGGUUUCUAAAGGUGACUUCAGCUGCUUUGCGGAGAAGAACUGGAGAAGGUCAAGGACAGAUGCAAGGAAAUGUCAAGCGAUCUAUGUCGACAGAGUCCUCGGAUUAAGACCACUCAGCAUCUGGCAGUCAGCCUGGCAUUAUCGUUACUGGAUGCUAAGCCGUUGGAUGGAAGUUCAUUGGAAAAAGAGGAUAUUUAAAUAGUCUAAAAGUAUCUUUCCCACAGAUGACUAGUCACUGACAAAGGGGAAAAGAUACUGUUACAGCAGAAAAAUAGGUCACCAUCUCAACCAUGGGCCAAUAGCACCGGCAAUGAGACAGAGGGAUAUUUGUGCCUCCUGAUCCGAUGCCCUGAGGACACACAUCCAUGCUGUUGCUGCCCACACUAUGCCACCUGACUUUGAGGGGCAGACAGAGAACCCUACACUGAGAGACAUCCGACAAAACCACCAGCCUGUGCCCUAAAUACGCAUCAGUGCCUAGAAGGCUCGGAAGAACCAGGAACUAUUAAAGGGGUCUGCCUUUGAAGGUUGAAGAAGACCCCUCCCCCAGCCAAGGGAUGCUGGAAGCCCCUCAGAAACUGGAAAGGCAAGGAGGCCCUCCUCCCCCAGGGCCUCCAGAAGGAACACAGCCCCGCUGAUACCUCGAUUUAGAGGUAGGUCACUUAGAACUUGAACUCCAGUGCUGUAAAAGAGUAAAUCUAUGUUAUUUGAAGCCGCAACAUUUGUGGCAAUAUGUUACAGAGCGGGAGGGGGAAAUAGGCAUGGUGGGCAACCAGAAGCGGAAGAGUUGCCUGGUUGAUCUCAUAGAAUUCGUUUUUGGAGCCAUCCUCUAGUGAAGGUAUUUUUGAGUAUGGACUCAGCCAUCCAAUAAAUUUCCUAUUUCUCCCA